rnacentral:lncRNA from 8 species
AUGGCGGAGGAAGCUCUUGGAAUAACAGUGAAGGAGCUGAAGCAAAAAAGAACUUUAGCUAAAAGCACUUUUACCAAGCAGGCAAACUUCCUCAGCAGAGUCGCAAAGCACAUGACUAAAAGAGAACUACAAGAGGAGUUCAAGAAGCUCAAGUCGGAGGCGAGGACGGUCAGUGAGACAAAUGACGAGUACAGGGCUGGCCUUCUGGCAGACAUUGAAGCUGGAACCGAUGAGGGUGAAGAAGCUAAACUGAGCAAGGAGAAGCAGACUGAAGUUGAGAAGACGUUCCAAGAAUGCGAAGCACGAUUGGAUGAGGUCAGGGAGAUAAUCCAGGCCAAUCUAUGGCCUAGAUAUGGCGAAAAUGAGGUGAAGUCUGCAAUCCAUGAAGCCGAGACAGCCUGUGAUGGAGUUGCUCAGAUACCUGUUACUGCUGUAAACAAAGAUGGCUUUGAGCUACGGUGGGAUUGUGUGAAAACACAAGUCCAAAAUGCAAUCGCAAGCCUAGCAGAGUGGGAGAUGUGGAUUCCGGUGGCAGAAAAGGAAAGGCUCGGAGGGAGAGUGAAGGAUCUGAAGGCAUUCGGCAACAACCUUGAAGCAAGGAGGGCAGGAUUUCUCACAGCACAAAGAAUUGCAGGAGACGAGAGAGACAGAGGGAGAGUGCCGCAGGUGCCCAUGCCAGCUCCACAACCGACACUGAGGAUAAAGCCAAUCUGUCUUCCCAAGUUCAGUGGGUAUAAAAGGAACUUCCAUCGAUGGAGAAGAGACUGGGAGAGUCUGCAAAAGCAGGGGGAACCAACAGGCUCAGUCGAAGUAAAGAGGAUCCAACUCAUUGACAGUAUAGAUGAGAGGAUAUGCAGAGGCCUCCGUUUGUCUUCCUACAACACUGCUGAGGACAUGUUCAGGGUGCUGGAAAACAGAUAUGGAAACAAGUCUACAAUUGCCUUGGAGAUAAUGGAGGAUCUGGAGAAAAUUCCUGCUUUAAGGGCAAAUCAGCCUAGAAAAGUUAUCGACAUGAUCCAAACUAUAGAGAAGGCCCUGGAUGACCUCACGGAGCUUGGAAACACAGGAGCCAUCAACAACCCUCUAGUGAUCAGAUCCAUAGAAAGCAAGUUACCUGACGACAUCAAGAGAGAGUGGCUUGUCUUCAUGGUUAAUCCGAGGAAUAAUGUCACACCAGAUAAUCACUUUGAGAACCUUCUUAAAUUCCUGAAAACACAAGAGGAAAUUCUUGAAAAACUGGAGCAGCUGGGAGUGAGUGAAAGGCCAGAAAAGAGAAAUGCUUGCAUGGAGAGGAAAUAUGCGUCCACGCGGUCCACAACGAAAGGAGGCUGUGUUGUGUGUGGUGAUGAAAAGCACAGAGAAAAUAUAUUCUUUUGCAAGCGUUUCAAGGAACUGAAGCCGGUGGAAAAGUUGGCUGCUGUAGAAAAGCUGGGGGCCUGCAAGAGGUGCUUGGUCUGUCAUGGAGAAGAUGAUGAAUGCAAAGAGACAUACCUGUGCAGGAACAGAAACUGUAAAAAAGACCACCAUUUCUUUCUAUGCCUGAAGGGAGACUUCAGGAGGAGUGACUCAGAAAGAAGACAAUUCAAUGUGAGAAGGCAUACGCGGACUGAGGAGCAGGAAGAAUUUGUAUCUAAACUCUCCCCAGAGAUGGCGGACAAAUUCAAGAGAGCGUUCACCAACAUCACCGCAAAGACAAACUGUGGUGAAAAGAUCCAGCUUGGAGAGAUUGUGUCAGGUGCAGUAGAAGAAUUGCCAGUUAUUCUAAUGCUGCUCGAGGUAACUGCCAAUGCAGGACAAAAAAUUGGAACCCUGAUCGACUUGGCAUCAGACACAAAUUUUAUCACCCACAGAGCUGCCAGGAGAUUAAAUCUUCGAAGUGAAAACAUCACUUUAGUCGUCCAUGGAGUUGGGGGGAUGGCCAUGAAGGUUAAAACCAGAAGAUAUCUCCUCAGAGUGAGGGUCAAAAUGCCUAGAGGCACAGAAAGAGCCCAUGAGCUUGUCUGCUAUGGUUUGAAUGAAAUUGCCAACAUCCACAGAGUCAUCAAACCUGAGCAACUCAAGAAGUUCUUCCCAGAAGUCAGUCUAGGAGAUCUGAGGAGACCGGAGAGCAUUGAGCUACUGAUAAGCCACCGCGAAGGAAGACUUGCUCCGCAAAGAGUGAAGGUGAUUGGAGACCUUGUCUUAUGGGAGAGCCCGCUAGGAAAGAUUGUUGGUGGAGCACAUCCAGAUCUGUUUGAAGAAGUCGAUAUGGCCGCGCACAGGUCUGGAACGCACUUUGCUCGAUCCAUGAGAGCAACCGCUGUCAAGUAUCAAGAGAUAAUUAAAACACAAGAGUUCACAGCUGAAACCAAAAGCACAGUUGCUCGCAGAGAGUUCUUGGAUUGGUGGAAAUGGGAUAGCAUUGGAGCAGCUUGCGAACCGAAGUGUGGAGGAUGCCGGUGCGGCAAUUGUCAACCAGGAGGCAAGGAAAUGACUCUGAGUGAGGAAAGGGAGCUGGAGAUCAUAAGGAAAGGCCUCACGUACAUCAAAGCAGAUGCUCACAGCGAUGAACCGCACUGGGACACAAAAUACCCCUGGAUUCAAGAUCCAAGUUCCCUUCCCUACAACAGGAGUGGGGUUGAAGCCACCUUCUUAAGAACAGAAAAACAACUCAAGAAAGAGCCAGAGUGGAAAAUAGCAUACACAGCUCAAGUGCAUGAAAUGGUGGAGAGAAGAGCAGCAAAGAAACUCACCAAAGAGAUGAUCGCCAGCUGGAAAGGACCAGUAUGGUAUGUCAGCCACUUGGUGGCGCCAAACCCACACUCUGUCACAACACCUGUGCGACUGGUAUGGAACAGCAGCCAGAAGUUUAAAGGGGUCAGCAUGAAUGACCUGCUGCUGAAAGGGCCUGAUGUUCUCAAUCCCAUCCGAGCAGUACUACUCAGGUUCAGAAGAGGUGUCCAUGCUGCUCUUGGCGACAUCAGGAAGAUGUACAAUUCGGUGUGGUUAGAAAACCUGGAGAUGCAUCUCCACAGAUUUCUCUGGAGAAACACUGAGGAGGAAGAGAUUGAAGAGUAUGCCAUCACCAGAGUCAACAUUGGCGAUCGACCAGCAGGGUGCAUUGCACAACUGGCCAUGAGAGAGACAGCAAAACUGCCCAUGUUCGCUCACCUGGAGGAGGAACGUAGGAUCCUUGAAGAGGAUGCCUAUGUCGAUGACAUCCUGACUUCCCAUAAUGACUUACAAAAGCUGGACAAGGACACCAAAGGAGUUGAAGAGAUCCUGAGGACAGGCGGAUUUUUCCUCAAACCCUGGGUCCGGUCAGGCCAAAGUGGGAGGCAGGAAAUCGUACCAGGAGAACAAGGAGCGGUGUCUGGCACAGUACUUAUUCUCCCAAACCAGAUGAGGAAAGGAGACAAUAAAGCCCUUGGAGUUGGAUACCUUGUUGAAGAGGACAAACUGUACCUUAUGACUUCAAUCAAUUUCUCAAAGAGGAAAAAGAAGAUGAGAGUCGGACAAAAUCUCCUUGAAGAAGAGGUGAGAGGGAAAACUCCAAACCCACUGACGAGAAGAGAACUGCUAAGCCAAGUAGCUAGCCUGUAUGACCCAAUAGGCCUCGUCACACCUGCCAAACAAAAGGGCGCCAUUCUUGUCAGAAAGGCGUUUCAAGAAGCUGGAGGCAAAACUCUGACCCGAAACACGUGGGACAAACCUCUGUCUGAACAAUUGAGAGAAGAAGCCAUCAAACUGUUUGAGGAGUACACACGUCUUAGCCAAAUCACCUUCCACAGAAGCCUCACACCAGUCAACUGGCUUGGUAAACCUUGGGGAAUAACAUUCUCUGACGGAAGUGAGAAGAGCUAUGGAGCUGUAGUGUACUUCAGAUGGGAAACCGAGCAAGGCAUCCAAGUCAGGUUGGUUGAGUCCAAAGCAAAACUCACACCUUUGGACCAAAAGGGGGAGGCAGUGAAAGCUGAAAUCUGCGGUGCUGUCUGCGCAGCACGACUUCGAAAGUACAUUGAAAAACACAGUCAUAUAGAAAUUGAACGAUGGCUCCAUCUGCUGGACAGUCAAACUGUGGUGGGAGCUAUCCAGAGAGACAGUUAUGGGUAUCAAUCUUUCUUCGCGAACAGAGUUGGAGAGAUCCAGAAAUCCACAUCCGUCGAAGACUGGUGGUGGAUCCCGGGAGGCCUGAACAGUGCUGACAUCAUAACAAGAGGGGCAGCCCCGGAAGACCUCCAAGAAGAUUCCAUGUGGCAAAAUGGACCAGCGUUCCUGCGGCAACCCAUGGAAGAGUGGCCACAGAAGUCAGCCAAAGAAAUUGCAGCUUAUGCCAAGGAAGGCAUAAACAAACUUCAAAGGAAAUAUUUCUCUGCAGCACUGACCAGAGCGCAGGCCAAGAGAAACAAGAAUGAUAUACUUCCUGAAGUGGGAGUUCAGAAGGAAAAUCAGAGUGAUGCACAGCAAAGCAGGCAAAAUAACCCAGAUGAACCUAAGACUAAGAUCCGAAGACCACCAGCUGGCUCUGCGGUAACAAAACUGAUUGACAUCAGGAAAUUCAGCAGCCUGACCAGGCUGAUCCGAGUCACUGCCUGGGUUUGGAGAGCUGCAACGAAAUGGAAAGAAGUGUUGACCAGGAAUUCAGCCUCAGAUAAACCAAAGUGGGAGGAAAUUCUUUCAACAAACUGGAAGUCCAGAGGCAAACAAGCUGUACUCACUGUUGGGGAGUGUGAAGAUGCACUAAGAGACCUGUUCCUUGCAGCACAAGAAGGUAUAACCUUUCAAGGCACCACUCUCAACAGACUCGCUGUUUACAGAGAUGAAGAGACUGGGCUCUUGGUUUGUGGAGGGAGGUUCAAGAUCUUUGAUGAGGACGAGACUGCUGUACCAAUCUACCAUAUAGGCAUCAGUACACUCCUCCGGAUGAGGAAGAAAGCCUGGGUGAUAAAAGGCCGGAAGCUGGCUAAAAAGAGAGUUGACAACUGUGUGGUGUGCAGAAAGGCUAGGGCCAGAAAGUGCCAACAGAUCAUGAGUGACCUUCCACCCGAGCGUAUAACACCAGCCAGACUAUUUGAGUACACAACAGUGGACUUAUUUGGACCAUAUGAAGUCAAGGACGAGGUGAGAAAGAAAGUCAAGCUCAAGGUGUGGGGAAUUGUCUUCUGCUGUAUGGCAUCCAGAGCUAUACACACAGAUGUUGUCAGUGACCAGUCAACUGAAGGCUUCUUACCGGCCUACCAAAGAUUCACGGCACUGAGAGGGCAUCCAAAGAAACUGUGGUCAGAUCCUGGAAAGAACUUUGUGGGUGCCAGACCUGCCCUCAAAGAGCUCUACCACUUCCAGUAUUGCCAGUGUAACAGUAUAGCUUCCGUCCCUCUCCUCGCUCCUACCUGGGCUCAAACCAGGAACACAUCGACAACAGCCACCCUCGAAGCAGCGUUACCCAUGCAGAGGAAGGGAAACAACUACUCCAAGUCUCAGAGCGAGUGA